AGGCAAAGAGGAGAGAGAGAGGGUGAGGAGGAAGAUGAGAGAGAUAUACUACUAAACUAUCUAUCCAUCCAUCAAUCAGCAAUCGCGUGCCGCCUUUCCACUCACGUACACCACCACCACCACCUCUCACCUCGGUUGGUUCGUUGCCGCGUCAAAUCGGGGCAAGAAGCCAGCCCUGUUGCAGUGUUGCUUCGCGUGCUCUGCUGUUGCUUGCUGCACCACGCACGUACCUGAAGAAAGCAGCGAUCCAUCGAUCGACCGGUGGUUCGCUGUCGGCAUGUCGUCCUCGUCCUCGUCGUCCUCCGCUGCCUCCGCGGCCACGGUGUUCCCGCCGUCCCCGCAGCUGCCGCCGUCCCCGCUCCUGGUGGAGAACCUCCCGCCGCUGCAUCAGCUCACGCCGGUAGCGGCGGCGGAGGCCGCCGCGCCGGCCUCCGAGCAGCUCUGCUACGUGCACUGCCACUUCUGCGACACCGUCCUCGUCGUCCGUGAUCGAAUCCCUCCUCUCGAUAUCUCUAUAUUCACAUACAUGCAGCUAGCUGUCCGUGUAGUCUAAAUCUCAAAAGAUUUUACAAGCUUGAAGGUGUUGUGCCUGUGGGUGCAGGUGAGCGUGCCUACGAGCAGCUUGUUCAAGACGGUGACGGUACGAUGCGGCCACUGCAGCAGCUUGCUCACUGUCAACAUGAGGGGCCUCCUCUUCCCGGGAACGCCGACGAACACAGCCGCAGCGGCCGCACCACCAGCUGCUGUCACCGCCAGUACCACCACCACCACCACCACCACCAUCACCACGGCGCCGCCGCCGGCCACCUCGGUCAACAACGGGCAGUUCCACUUCCCCCAGUCGGUCGACCUCGCGCCCAACCCUCACCACCAAUCCCUCCUGCUGG
rnacentral:lncRNA from 1 species